rnacentral:rRNA from 1 species
CUCAGGACGAACGCUGGCGGCGUGCUUAACACAUGCAAGUCGAACGAUGAUGCCCAGCUUGCUGGGCGGAUUAGUGGCGAACGGGUGAGUAAUACGUGAGUAACCUGCCCUUGACUCUGGGAUAAGCCUGGGAAACUGGGUCUAAUACUGGAUACUACCUCUUGCCGCAUGGUGGGUGGUGGAAAGGGUUUUACUGGUUUUGGAUGGGCUCACGGCCUAUCAGCUUGUUGGUGGGGUAAUGGCUCACCAAGGCGACGACGGGUAGCCGGCCUGAGAGGGUGACCGGCCACACUGGGACUGAGACACGGCCCAGACUCCUACGGGAGGCAGCAGUGGGGAAUAUUGCACAAUGGGCGGAAGCCUGAUGCAGCGACGCCGCGUGAGGGAUGACGGCCUUCGGGUUGUAAACCUCUUUCAGUAGGGAAGAAGCGAGAGUGACGGUACCUGCAGAAGAAGCGCCGGCUAACUACGUGCCAGCAGCCGCGGUAAUACGUAGGGCGCAAGCGUUGUCCGGAAUUAUUGGGCGUAAAGAGCUCGUAGGCGGUUUGUCGCGUCUGCUGUGAAAGCCCGGGGCUCAACCCCGGGUCUGCAGUGGGUACGGGCAGACUAGAGUGCAGUAGGGGAGACUGGAAUUCCUGGUGUAGCGGUGAAAUGCGCAGAUAUCAGGAGGAACACCGAUGGCGAAGGCAGGUCUCUGGGCUGUUACUGACGCUGAGGAGCGAAAGCAUGGGGAGCGAACAGGAUUAGAUACCCUGGUAGUCCAUGCCGUAAACGUUGGGCACUAGGUGUGGGGGACAUUCCACGUUUUC